AGGAUGAACGCUAGCGGCAGGCCUAAUACAUGCAAGUCGGACGGUAUUUCCCUUUCGGGGGAGAGAGAGUGGCGAACGGGUGCGUAACGCGUAUGCAACCUGCCCCUUACAGGGGGAUAGCCCGGGGAAACCCGGAUUAAUACCCCAUGUUUCGGACUGCCGGCAUCGGCGGUCCGCCAAAGCCUUCGGGCGGUAGGGGAUGGGCAUGCGUGGGAUUAGCUUGUUGGCGGUGUAACGGACCA
rnacentral:rRNA from 1 species